GGGUGAUUAACACGCUGGGUAACCUGCCCAUCAUAAGGGGAUAACACUUGGAAACAGGUGCUAAUACCGUAUAACAAUCGAAACCGCAAGGUUUUGAUUUGAAAGGCGCUUUCGGGUGUCGCUGAUGGAUGGACCCGCGGUGCAUUAGCUAGUUGGUGAGGUAACGGCUCACCAAGGCGACGAUGCAUAGCCGACCUGAUAGGGUGAUCGGCCACAUUGGAACUGAAACACGGCCCAAACUCCUACGGGAGGCAGCAUGAGGGAAUCUUCGGCAAUGGACGAAAGUCUGACCGAGCAACGCCGCGUGAGUGAAGAAGGUUUUCGGAUCGUAAAACUCUGUUGGUAGAGAAGAACAAGGAUGAGAGUAACUGUUCAUCCCUUGACGGUAUCUAACCAGAAAGCCACGGCUAACUACGUGCCAGCAGCCGCGGUAAUACGUAGGUGGCAAGCGUUGUCCGGAUUUAUUGGGCGUAAAGCGAGCGCAGGCGGUUUCUUAAGUCUGAUGUGAAAGCCCCCGGCUCAACCGGGGAGGGUCAUUGGAAACUGGGAGACUUGAGUGCACAAGAGGAGAGUGGAAUUCCAUGUGUAGCGGUGAAAUGCGUAGAUAUAUGGAGGAACACCACUGGCGAAGGCGGCUCUCUGGUCUGUAACUGACGCUGAGGCUCGAAAGCGUGGGGAGCAAACAGGAUUAGAUACCCUGGUAGUCCACGCCGUAAACGAUGACUGCUAAGUGUUGGAGGGUUUCCGCCCUUCAGUGCUGCAGCUAACGCAUUAAGCACUCCGCCUGGGGAGUACGACCGCAAGGUUGAAACUCAAAGGAAUUGACGGGGGCCCCGCACAAGCGGUGGAGCAUGUGGUUUAAUUCGAAGCAACGCGAAGAACCUUACCAGGUCUUGACAUCCUUUGACCACUCUAGAGAUAGAGCUUCCCCUUCGGGGGCAAAGUGACAGGUGGUGCAUGGUUGUCGUCAGCUCGUGUCGUGAGAUGUUGGGUUAAGUCCCGCAACGAGCGCAACC
rnacentral:rRNA from 1 species